GGGGAUUUGGCUCAGUGGUAGAGCACUUGCCUAGCAAGCACAAGGCCCUGGGUUCAGUCCCCAGCUCCG
rfam:Rattus norvegicus chromosome 19, whole genome shotgun sequence.